UACAGAGGGGGCAAGCGUUAUUCGGAAUUAUUGGGCGUAAAGGGCGCGUAGGCGGCUUGGCAAGUGGAUGGUGAAAUCCCUCGGCUUAACCGAGGAACUGCCAUUCAAAACUGCUUUGCUUGAGGCCGGGGAGAGCGAGUGGAAUUCCCAGUGUAGCGGUGAAAUGCGUAGAUAUUGGGAGGAACACCAGUGGCGAAGGCGGCUCGCUGGACCGGUUCUGACGCUGAUGCGCGAAAGCGUGGGGAGCAAACGGG
rnacentral:rRNA from 1 species